AUAUUUUACAAAGCAGUGUUUUGAAUUGUGACUGGUAUUUUUUAUUUCCCUAGGCUCACCAUGUAAUCCCGCAAUGACGAACAUACACACAGAGGACAUAAUUACAAUUUCCCCUACCCAAGAUUCCAGUCCUGAAGAAAAUCAAAGAUACCAUCUACUUGAAGAGAUGCAGACGGACCAUUCUGGGAUGGAGGUUUGGGAUCAUCCCCUGAGUGAAAGACACCAAAACCUGGAUCUCAUUGAGAUCACCCCUUUAGUGGAGGAUGUAGAAAAUGCCAGAGCCAUAACAGAUGGAUCUCAGAAUAUUGUAUCCAGCACAGGUAAGUUGCUUAUUAUUGAUUUUGUGGCUUUUAGUGCAUCUGUCCUAAAUGUAUUAUUAGUAAAUGUUAUCCUUCACAGGUAAACCGCUGCAAAGUAGUACCAUUACGCAUUCAAAGAUGAAUGUUUUGCGCUGUUGUGGCGAACUUGAGAAGAUCAAACGAUCAGCUGCAGCACUUCAGCACAAUUUGAAAGACUUUAUAGAAUUGAUGAACAAAAUCUAAAUGCUGGACCUGUUAAGUUGUUUGCACAGUUUUUGUAGAUUCUUUUACAUUUGAUUGUACACUUUUUUGUAAAAAAUUGUCCAAAAUUGGAUGAGCAUUUCACGCUGCAUUACCUUAUGUAAUCCGAUGUUUCCCCACAACCAAAUUGCUUAAAUAUUACAUUCAACCUAGUUGUCAGAAUGUCAUUUUAGGCCGAUGUUUUGUUUUUUGGUAGCGGUACCUGCCUUUUUUUCCCACACGGCUUCCGGGUGUGUGAUCUGUGUCCCUGGUCGUUACCACUGGCGCAUGCAGUGCGUCUGCAGCUUCAGAAUGAAGCUGGUCUGCUACUAGUCUUUAAGCUGCGCUUGCGAACCAAUGGUUUUCUUUUUCCAACAACUCGUGACCCACUGCAUGCACCGGUUGUAACGAUCACAAACAAUUGCGAACGUCCAGUACCACAGAUUACAUACCCAGAAGCGGUGUUAUAGAAAAUGUUUGUGCAGUCAUGUUGACUACUUAGUUCAAUUUAAUGCUGCUAUUUUUUUUUUUUUUUGGAUGAUCCCAUCCACUUUAAAUCGUAGGAGCACCAAAAAGGAAACUAAAACAAAAAAGAACCAGUAUGCUAAACAAAUUUAACUGUAUGUAGGCCUUAUUCUUUUUUCACCCUACAUGCCUUAAUAUUGCCUUUUAAAACAGGACUUACUGGGUUUUGUAACUGCGGGAUUGGCCGUUACCACUGGCGCAUGCAUCGCAUCAUUAGUUGCUGAAAGAAGCUGGUCUGCAUGUAGCGUGUAUACGGCGCUUGUGCACCAAUGUUUUGCUUUUGGAAGGCAACUCGUGACGCACUGCAUGCACCAGUUGAAAAUGAUCUCAAACAAUUGUAAACGUUCAAUACCACAGAUUACAUACCCAGAAGCCCUCUCACAAAUACUUGUAUGUAUGGCAAAGAAUG